rnacentral:misc_RNA from 1 species
UGCGGCAUCACCUCCUUUCUAAGGAUAAACCUCAAUGGAAACGCUCACUCCGUCAUCUUCGGAUGAAAUGGGGAGCCUCUGCCUUCUGGUUUACUUGGAACAAGACGGAAGAGAGUCACUCUUACCGUCGUGCAUACCUUAAGCGGGUCUGCCGCCUUCGUUUCUCUUUCUUCGCGAAUGACUUUGAUUGCGCUCGCGCGCCGCAUCGCACCCUUUGGGUGCUGGCGCUCCGCGAGGGCGCGGCACGAGCCGCGACGGCCGCCGGUUUUAGUUAGAUUUGGCGGCCUUGCGAGGCUCUGCCUCGAAGCUGGCUACCAUCUGCGCUUGGGGCUUAGGGCUUGUAGCUCAGUUGGUUAGAGCGCGCGCUUGAUAAGCGUGAGGUCGGAGGUUCAAGUCCUCCCAGGCCCACCAUUCUUCGACAAGGCGCCCUAAGACAGGGGUAACUUCGAAGAGGUGUUAUCAAGGGGCCGUAGCUCAGCUGGGAGAGCGCCUGCUUUGCAAGCAGGAUGUCGUCGGUUCGAUCCCGUCCGGCUCCACCAUCUCCGCGCAAUCCGCAGGAUUGUCGCUGCGCAAUCCGCAGGAUUGUCGCUUCUUCUCCGGGAGAAAAAGGGUGUCGAGUGGAUGUGAAGCGGGCCGAGAAAAAGUCAUUCGUUCAAGAGUUUGCGGCGAGCCUUCUGGCUCUCCGCCUGUUCUGUUUGACAUCGUAAAGAGAAGAUUUGUUCGAACUUCAUAUCCCCCGAAAUGGGGUGUGAUUUGACGCGGGAGACGCUCAAUCUCCCGCCUAUGAUGGGUUUGCCUAACCGCACCCUCGAACCGAUCUCGAGAAGCUGGUCUUUUGUGCCAAUGCCAUCAAGCCAAGUCCUGCACAGGAUUUGGCUGACGCGACGAUCUCUUCGAGAUCGCGCUGGGCGACGAUCCCUUUGGGAUCGCGCGGUGGGUAUUGGCAAUGAGAACGAUCAAGUGUCUUAAGGGCAAUUGGUGGAUGCCUUGGCAUGCACAGGCGAUGAAGGACGUGAUACGCUGCGAUAAGCUACGGGGGGGUGCGAAUACCCUUUGAUCCGUAGAUUUCCGAAUGGGGAAACCCGG